ACGCGGGAAGGUCCAACACCAACAAACAUUUCAAGAAACUCAGAACCUGACACACUUAAAAAAGGGACGUUAGCUUCACCAGCGGUGGCUUUAGCAAGAAGAGUUUUACCGGUACCAGGAGGACCAGAAAGAAUGGCACCACGAGGAAUUUUAGCCCCCAACCUUUCAUAAAACUUGGGAUUUUUUAAAAAUUUGACGAAUUCCAUAAUCUCUUCUUUAGCCUCGUCAACGCCAGCGACAUCAGCAAAUUUUAUUUUGAUAUCAGUUUCAUGAUUAAACAUCUUCGCUCGGCUCUUACCAAUUCCAAAAAUGCCACCUUGACCACCUCCUGCGGCACCCGAAGCCCGUCGCGAUAAAUAAAUGACACUUCCAAUGAUCAGUAAGGUGGGAGCAAAAGACAAUAAAGUAGCAAGAACAGAGACUUCGUCAUGAUAAGCGACAGGGACAAAUUCAGAAGGUGGAAUACCCAGUUGACGUUGUGCAUCCUCUAGUUUUCGAUCGAAAGAGUCGAUGGAACCAAUUGAAAAAUAGUACUGCCCUGAACCUGAAGCUACACCGCCUCUCAAAAUAACUCUAACCAUAUUGCGGUUAACAACAACUAGCCGUUCAACUAAACCCUUGUCUAAAAACUGUUGUCGAAAAUCUUGCCAAGUAAUUUCUUGCAUAUUUGCAUUAGGCGAGAGAACAUUGUAAAGGAUAUAGGCAACUAAAAUUCCACCUA